AACACCAACAGCAACGCCCAAACAAGGAAUUUGAUGAAGACAAUGGAGCAUAGCGAAAGGGAAACACUUGAAUUGAAAAAAUAAGGCCAAGAAGCCUCAGAAACAGGGCAUCGCCUGAGCAAAAGCGCGAAGGGAGGAGCUUCUCUCCACCGGCUCUCACGAGAGGAGAGAGGAAACCCAGAGCGAGAGGAAGGGGAAUAACGGAGCCCCCUGUUUCAUUAUAGCCUUUGUAGAAACGAUAUCAAGAUUCAAUAGUGUCAAGGUCGCCGUCCAAGGCAUAGCCGUUACAGAAACCAUACCAAUAUCGAUGGUGUAAGGGUUGAGGAGAUGCUGUAAGAUCUCCGGUUAGAUUUCCCCUCAUCUUGGGCGAUCAUCACCAAGGCAACAGCUGAUAGCACGCUUUAGUGACUUCACACACGAGCUUGGCUGGGAUACUGAGCCUCUUUUCCCCCUCCCAAAUGAAGAUGCUACAAAAAUAGAGUUAAUAUGGAGAUCAAUGAAGCAGGUCUACGCUACACUGACCAUCGGUACCACAACUCGUUACCAUCAGACGAAGAAGUAUCUGAUGAUGAUUGCUUGUUACGAAUUGGGGAAGAUAAGGAAGGGUUAUUUUGUGAUGGAGGAGAGAAAGGGCUUGGUCAAACAUCUGAAAUUGGUAAUGAUAAAUGUUAUAUGAUGGAUAUGGAGACGUUAGAAGGAACGAAUGUAGGUGAGUGUGUACACUUAAUGUGCAUUAAUAGUUUAAUACCUGUGUGUGCAACUCCUCGAACUUUAAUUAGACAGAACUCAUGCUCUUCUUGAAGAAGAUAAUUAAGCUACCUAUUAGAACAGAAAUGAAAAUUUCAGGUCAAAGAAGUCGAUCUAACCAAGCUCAUGUACAGCUUGACUGUCAUAUAAUUACAC